UGGUCAUUACCAAGGCUGCAAGGAUAUGGCUGUUCCUGGUGAGCUGUGGACAUGACCAUAAAGCAAGUCCAUCAGACUCUUGAAUUGCUGCGUUGUGUGGCAGUAGGUCUGCUGGGAAUAAAA
rnacentral:snoRNA from 1 species